UACGUAGGGUGCAAGCGUUAUCCGGAAUCAUUGGGUUUAAAGGGUCCGUAGGCGGUUUAGUAAGUCAGUGGUGAAAGCCCAUCGCUCAACGGUGGAACGGCCAUUGAUACUGCUAGACUUGAAUUAUUAGGAAGUAACUAGAAUAUGUAGUGUAGCGGUGAAAUGCUUAGAGAUUACAUGGAAUACCAAUUGCGAAGGCAGGUUACUACUAAUGGAUUGACGCUGAUGGACGAAAGCGUGGGUAGCGAACAGG
rnacentral:rRNA from 1 species